GUCCCGCAACGAGCGCAACCCUUAUCAUUAGUUGCUACGCAAGGGCACUCUAAUGAGACUGCCGGUGACAACCGGAGGAAGGUGGGAUGACGUCAAGUCCUCAUGGCCCUUAUGGUAGGGCUUCACACGUCAUACAAUGGUCGGUACAGAGGGUUGCCAAGCCGCGAGGCGGAGCCAAUCCCACAAAGCCGAUCGUAGUCUGGAUUGUUCUCUGCAACUCGAGAGCAUGAAGUCGGAAUCGCUAGUAAUCGCAGGUCAGCAUACUGCGGUGAAUACGUUCCCGGGUCUU
rnacentral:rRNA from 1 species